rfam:Camelus ferus unplaced genomic scaffold scaffold163, whole genome shotgun sequence.
GAGGGCAUAGCUCAGCAGUAGAGUGCGUGCUUAGCACACACAAGGUCCUGGGUUCAAUCCCCAGUACUUCCA